GGAGAGGUGCCGGAGCGGCUGAACGGGGCGGCCUGCUAAGCCGUUGUAGGUAUUAUUGCCUACCGAGGGUUCGAAUCCCUCCCUCUCCG
rnacentral:tRNA from 1 species